rnacentral:rRNA from 1 species
UACAGAGGGGGCAAGCGUUGUUCGGAAUUACUGGGCGUAAAGGGCGCGUAGGCGGCCUGCUAAGUCGAACGUGAAAUCCCUGGGCUCAACCCAGGAACUGCGUCCGAUACUGGUUGGCUUGAAUCCGGGAGAGGGAUGUGGAAUUCCAGGUGUAGCGGUGAAAUGCGUAGAUAUCUGGAGGAACACCGGUGGCGAAGGCGACAUCCUGGACCGGCAUUAACGCUGAGGCGCGAAAGCCAGGGGAGCAAACGGG